rnacentral:rRNA from 1 species
GAUGAACGCUAGCGCCAGGCCUAAUACAUGCAAGUCGAACGGUGUAGCAAUACACAGUGGCGCACGGGUGCGUAACACGUAUGCAACCUACCUAUUAUUGGGGGAUAGCCUUUGGAAACGGAGAUUAAUACCGCAUCAGACAGUGAGAUGGCCUCAUCUAGCUGUUAAAGCUUUGGCGCUAAUAGAUGGGCAUGCGUCCAAUUAGUUAGUUGGUGAGGUAAUGGCCCACCAAGACGAUGAUUGGUAGGGGAUCGGAGAGGCCAAUCCCCCCCACUGGCGCUGAGGCACGGGCCAGCCCCCUCCGGGAAGCAGUAGUAGGGAAUGCUGGGCAAUGGACACAAGUCUUACCCAGCCAUGCCGCGUGCAGGAUGAAGGCGUUAUGCGUUGUAAACUACUUUUAUACAGGAAGACUCGACUCUUGCGACAGGCAUUGACGGUACUGAAUGCAUAAGCACCCGCUAUCUCCGUGGCUGCCGCCGCCGUAGCAC